GCCUUUGUAGCUCAAUGGUAGAGCGGAAUACUGUUAAUAUUCUGAUACAUGUUCGAUUCAUGUCAAGGGCUCUA
rnacentral:tRNA from 1 species